AACGAACGCUGGCGGCAGGCUUAACACAUGCAAGUCGAACGGUUGUAGUAAUACAGCAGUGGCGCACGGGUGAGUAACGCGUGGGAAUAUGCCCUUCAGUACGGAAUAACAGCGGGAAACUGCUGCUAAUACCGUAUAUUCUCUUCGGAGGAAAGAUUUAUCGCUGAAGGAUUAGCCCGCGUGAGAUUAGGUAGUUGGUGGGGUAAUGGCCUACCAAGCCUACGAUCUCUAGCUGGUCUGAGAGGAUGAUCAGCCACACUGGAACUGAGACACGGUCCAGACUCCUACGGGAGGCAGCAGUGGGGAAUAUUGGACAAUGGGCGAAAGCCUGAUCCAGCCAUGCCGCGUGAGUGAUGAAGGCCUUAGGGUUGUAAAGCUCUUUUGUCAGGGAAGAUAAUGACGGUACCUGAAGAAUAAGCACCGGCUAACUUCGUGCCAGCCGCCGCCGUAAAAC
rnacentral:rRNA from 1 species